rnacentral:rRNA from 1 species
UACGAAGGGGGCUAGCGUUGCUCGGAAUCACUGGGCGUAAAGGGUGCGUAGGCGGGUUUUUAAGUCAGAGGUGAAAUCCUGGAGCUCAACUCCAGAACUGCCUUUGAUACUGAAAGUCUUGAGUAUGGGAGAGGUGAGUGGAACUGCGAGUGUAGAGGUGAAAUUCGUAGAUAUUCGCAAGAACACCAGUGGCGAAGGCGGCUCACUG